rnacentral:rRNA from 1 species
GGGAGAUAGCUGGUUCUCCCCGAAAGCUAUUUAGGUAGCGCCUCGUGAAUUCAUCUCCGGGGGUAGAGCACUGUUUCGGCAAGGGGGUCAUCCCGACUUACCAACCCGAUGCAAACUGCGAAUACCGGAGAAUGUUAUCACGGGAGACACACGGCGGGUGCUAACGUCCGUCGUGAAGAGGGAAACAACCCAGACCGCCAGCUAAGGUCCCAAAGUCAUGGUUAAGUGGGAAACGAUGUGGGAAGGCCCAGACAGCCAGGAUGUUGGCUUAGAAGCAGCCAUCAUUUAAAGAAAGCGUAAUAGCUCACUGGUCGAGUCGGCCUGCGCGGAAGAUGUAACGGGGCUAAACCAUGCACCGAAGCUGCGGCAGCGACACUAUGUGUUGUUGGGUAGGGGAGCGUUCUGUAAGCCUGUGAAGGUGUACUGUGAGGUAUGCUGGAGGUAUCAGAAGUGCGAAUGCUGACAUAAGUAACGAUAAAGCGGGUGAAAAGCCCGCUCGCCGGAAGACCAAGGGUUCCUGUCCAACGUUAAUCGGGGCAGGGUGAGUCGACCCCUAAGGCGAGGCCGAAAGGCGUAGUCGAUGGGAAACAGGUUAAUAUUCCUGUACUUGGUGUUACUGCGAAGGGGGGACGGAGAAGGCUAUGUUGGCCGGGCGACGGUUGUCCCGGUUUAAGCGUGUAGGCUGGUUUUCCAGGCAAAUCCGGAAAAUCAAGGCUGAGGCGUGAUGACGAGGCACUACGGUGCUGAAGCAACAAAUGCCCUGCUUCCAGGAAAAGCCUCUAAGCAUCAGGUAACAUCAAAUCGUACCCCAAACCGACACAGGUGGUCAGGUAGAGAAUACCAAGGCGCUUGAGAGAACUCGGGUGAAGGAACUAGGCAAAAUGGUGCCGUAACUUCGGGAGAAGGCACGCUGAUAUGUAGGUGAAGCGACUUGCUCGUGGAGCUGAAAUCAGUCGAAGAUACCAGCUGGCUGCAACUGUUUAUUAAAAACACAGCACUGUGCAAACACGAAAGUGGACGUAUACGGUGUGACGCCUGCCCGGUGCCGGAAGGUUAAUUGAUGGGGUUAGCGGUAACGCGAAGCUCUUGAUCGAAGCCCCGGUAAACGGCGGCCGUAACUAUAACGGUCCUAAGGUAGCGAAAUUCCUUGUCGGGUAAGUUCCGACCUGCACGAAUGGCGUAAUGAUGGCCAGGCUGUCUCCACCCGAGACUCAGUGAAAUUGAACUCGCUGUGAAGAUGCAGUGUACCCGCGGCAAGACGGAAAGACCCCGUGAACCUUUACUAUAGCUUGACACUGAACAUUGAGCCUUGAUGUGUAGGAUAGGUGGGAGGCUUUGAAGUGUGGACGCCAGUCUGCAUGGAGCCGGCCUUGAAAUACCACCCUUUAAUGUUUGAUGUUCUAACGUUGGCCCCUGAUCGGGGUUGCGGACAGUGUCUGGUGGGUAGUUUGACUGGGGCGGUCUCCUCCUAAAGAGUAACGGAGGAGCACGAAGGUUGGCUAAUCCUGGUCGGACAUCAGGAGGUUAGUGCAAUGGCAUAAGCCAGCUUGACUGCGAGCGUGACGGCGCGAGCAGGUGCGAAAGCAGGUCAUAGUGAUCCGGUGGUUCUGAAUGGAAGGGCCAUCGCUCAACGGAUAAAAGGUACUCCGGGGAUAACAGGCUGAUACCGCCCAAGAGUUCAUAUCGACGGCGGUGUUUGGCACCUCGAUGUCGGCUCAUCACAUCCUGGGGCUGAAGUAGGUCCCAAGGGUAUGGCUGUUCGCCAUUUAAAGUGGUACGCGAGCUGGGUUUAGAACGUCGUGAGACAGUUCGGUCCCUAUCUGCCGUGGGCGCUGGAGAACUGAGGGGGGCUGCUCCUAGUACGAGAGGACCGGAGUGGACGCAUCACUGGUGUUCGGGUUGUCAUGCCAAUGGCACUGCCCGGUAGCUAAAUGCGGAAGAGAUAAGUGCUGAAAGCAUCUAAGCACGAAACUUGCCCCGAGAUGAGUUCUCCCUGAGACUUAGAGUCUCCUGAAGGAACGUUGAAGACGACGACGUUGAUAGGCCGGGUGUGUAAGCGCAGCGAUGCGUUGAGCUAACCGGUACUAAUGAACCGUGAGGCUUAACCUU